AAAAGGAUAGUCGGGCACAAUGAGAUGUAACAUUUCUUUGUGGUUAUCAAUUGGAAUUCCAUUAAAAGCUUUCAAUGCAUCAGCAUUCUUAACAAGGUACAUGUAUACUUUAGGCAAGGAAGUUGGUUCAACACCAAUUUCAACUAAUUCAGCCCAAAUAUCUCCACCAUUAGCACUCUUACUCUAUUUGACCAACUCCUCUGAGCUCAUUUUAAACACCUCAACUAUUGUCUUUAAAGUAUUAGAAAUUUCUCUCAUGCUUGUAUCAUCUUCAACAACCUUUUUUGCUCGUUUC
rnacentral:lncRNA from 1 species